rnacentral:rRNA from 1 species
GACGUAGGGCGCGGAGCGUUGUCCGGAUUUAUUGGGCGUAAAGAGCUCGUAGGCGGCUUGUUGCGUCAGCUGUGAAAACCCGCAGCUCAACUGUGGGCUUGCAGCUGAUACGGGCAGGCUUGAGUUCGGUAGGGGAGACUGGAAUUCCUGGUGUAGCGGUGAAAUGCGCAGAUAUCAGGAGAAACACCGGUGGCGAAGGCGGGUCUCUGGGCCGAUACUGA